rnacentral:rRNA from 1 species
ACCGAUAGUGAACCAGUACCGUGAGGGAAAGGUGAAAAGCACCCCGGAAGGGGAGUGAAACAGUUCCUGAAACCGUGUGCCUACAAGUAGUUAGAGCCCGUUAAUGGGUGAUAGCGUGCCUUUUGUAGAAUGAACCGGCGAGUUACGAUUUGUUGCAAGGUUAAGCGGAAAAAGCGGAGCCGUAGCGAAAGCGAGUCUGAAUAGGGCGCAUAAGUAACAGGUCGUAGACCCGAAACCAGGUGAUCUACCCAUGUCCAGGAUGAAGGUAAGGUAAUACUUACUGGAGGUCCGAACCCACGCACGUUGAAAAGUGCGGGGAUGAGGUGUGGGUAGCGGAGAAAUUCCAAUCGAACUUGGAGAUAGCUGGUUCUCUCCGAAAUAGCUUUAGGGCUAGCCUCGAGGUAAAGAGUCAUGGAGGUAGAGCACUGUUUGGACUAGGGGCCCUUCUCGGGUUACCGAAUUCAGAUAAACUCCGAAUGCCAUGUACUUAUACUCGGGAGUCAGACUGCGAGUGAUAAGAUCCGUAGUCGAAAGGGAAACAGCCCAGACCACCAGUUAAGGUCCCCAAAUAUAUGUUAAGUGGAAAAGGAUGUGGGGUUGCUUAGACAACCAGGAUGUUGGCUUAGAAGCAGCCACCAUUGAAAGAGUGCGUAAUAGCUCACUGGUCGAGUGACCCCGCGCCGAAAAUGUACCGGGGCUAAACAUAUUACCGAAACUGUGGAUGAACCUCUUUAGAGGUUCGUGGUAGGAGAGCGUUCUAAGGGCGGUGAAGUCAGACCGGAAGGACUGGUGGAGCGCUUAGAAGUGAGAAUGCCGGUAUGAGUAGCGAAAGAAGGGUGAGAAUCCCUUCCACCGAAUAUCUAAGGUUUCCUGAGGAAGGCUCGUCCGCUCAGGGUUAGUCGGGACCUAAGCCGAGGCCGAUAGGCGUAGGCGAUGGACAACAGGUAGAGAUUCCUGUACCAGUGCUAAUUGUUUAACCGAUGGGGUGACACAGAAGGAUAGGGAAUCGCACGAAUGGAAAUGUGCGUCCAAGCAGUGAGUGUGAGAAGUAGGCAAAUCCGCUUCUCGCGAAGCAUGAGCUGUGAUGGGGAAGGAAAUUAAGUACGGAAGUUCCUGAUUUCACGCUGUCAAGAAAAGCCUCUAGGAAGAGUAGUACUGCCCGUACCGCAAACCGACACAGGUAGAUGAGGAGAGAAUCCUAAGGUGAGCGAGAGAACUCUCGUUAAGGAACUCGGCAAAAUGACCCCGUAACUUCGGGAGAAGGGGUGCUCUAUUAGGGUGCAAGCCCGAGAGAGCCGCAGUGAAUAGGCCCAGGCGACUGUUUAGCAAAAACACAGGUCUCUGCAAAACCGUAAGGUGACGUAUAGGGGCUGACGCCUGCCCGGUGCUGGAAGGUUAAGAGGAGUGCUUAGCUUCGGCGAAGGUACGAAUUGAAGCCCCAGUAAACGGCGGCCGUAACUAUAACGGUCCUAAGGUAGCGAAAUUCCUUGUCGGGUAAGUUCCGACCCGCACGAAAGGCGCAACGAUCUGGGCACUGUCUCAACGAGAGACUCGGUGAAAUUAUAGUACCUGUGAAGAUGCAGGUUACCCGCGACAGGACGGAAAGACCCCGUGGAGCUUUACUGCAACCUGAUAUGGAAUGUUUGUACCGCUUGUACAGGAUAGGUAGGAGCCGAAGAGACGUGUGCGCUAGCAUACGAGGAGGCAAUGGUGGGAUACUACCCUGGCUGUAUGACCAUUCUAACCCGCCACGCUUAGCGCGUGGGGAGACAGUGUCAGGUGGGCAGUUUGACUGGGGCGGUCGCCUCCUAAAGAGUAACGGAGGCGCCCAAAGGUUCCCUCAGAAUGGAUGGAAAUCAUUCGCAGAGUGUAAAGGCACAAGGGAGCUUGACUGCGAGACUGACAAGUCGAGCAGGGACGAAAGUCGGGCUUAGUGAUCCGGUGGUUCCGCAUGGAAGGGCCAUCGCUCAACGGAUAAAAGCUACCCCGGGGAUAACAGGCUUAUCUCCCCCAAGAGUCCACAUCGACGGGGAGGUUUGGCACCUCGAUGUCGGCUCGUCGCAUCCUGGGGCUGUAGUCGGUCCCAAGGGUUGGGCUGUUCGCCCAUUAAAGCGGCACGCGAGCUGGGUUCAGAACGUCGUGAGACAGUUCGGUCCCUAUCCGUCGCGGGCGCAGGAAAUUUGAGAGGAGCUGUCCUUAGUACGAGAGGACCGGGAU